UUUACAUCAGGGGUGAUCUCUUUAUCUUUACAUCAGGUGUGUUCUCUUUACAUCUUUACAUCAGGUGUGAUCUCUUUAUCUUUACAUCAGGUGUGAUCUCUUUAUCUUUACAUCAGGUGUGUUCUCUUUAUCUUUACAUCUUUACAUCAGG